rnacentral:rRNA from 1 species
GUUUGAUCAUGCUCAGAUUGAACGCUGGCGGCAGGCCUAACACAUGCAAGUCGAGCGGUAGCACAGAGAGCUUGCUCUCGGGUGACGAGCGGCGGACGGGUGAGUAAUGUCUGGGAAACUGCCUGAUGGAGGGGGAUAACUACUGGAAACGGUAGCUAAUACCGCAUAAUGUCGCAAGACCAAAGUGGGGGACCUUCGGGCCUCAUGCCAUCAGAUGUGCCCAGAUGGGAUUAGCUAGUAGGUGGGGUAACGGCUCACCUAGGCGACGAUCCCUAGCUGGUCUGAGAGGAUGACCAGCCACACUGGAACUGAGACACGGUCCAGACUCCUACGGGAGGCAGCAGUGGGGAAUAUUGCACAAUGGGCGCAAGCCUGAUGCAGCCAUGCCGCGUGUGUGAAGAAGGCCUUCGGGUUGUAAAGCACUUUCAGCGGGGAGGAAGGCGGUAAGGUUAAUAACCUCAUCGAUGGACGUACCCGCAGAAGAAGCACCG